rnacentral:rRNA from 1 species
CAUGCAGUCGAGGGGCAGCGGGGUGUAGCAAUACACUGCCGGCGACCGGCGCACGGGUGCGUAACGCGUAUGCAACCUACCCAUAACAGGGGCAUAACACUGAGAAAUUGGUACUAAUUCCCCAUAACAUUCGAAGAGGCAUCUCUUUGGGUUGAAAACUCCGGUGGUUAUGGAUGGGCAUGCGUUGUAUUAGCUAGUUGGUGGGGUAACGGCUCACCAAGGCGACGAUACAUAGGGGGACUGAGAGGUUAACCCCCCACAUUGGUACUGAGACACGGACCAAACUCCUACGGGAGGCAGCAGUGAGGAAUAUUGGUCAAUGGACGCAAGUCUGAACCAGCCAUGCCGCGUGCAGGAUGACGGCUCUAUGAGUUGUAAACUGCUUUUGUACGAGGGUAAACUCACCUACGUGUAGGUGACUGAAAGUAUCGUACGAAUAAGGAUCGGCUAACUCCGUGCCAGCAGCCGCGGUAAUACGGAGGAUUCAAGCGUUAUCCGGAUUUAUUGGGUUUAAAGGGUGCGUAGGCGGUUAGAUAAGUUAGAGGUGAAAUCCCGGGGCUUAACUCCGAAAUUGCCUCUAAUACUGUUUGACUAGAGAGUAGUUGCGGUAGGCGGAAUGUAUGGUGUAGCGGUGAAAUGCUUAGAGAUCAUACAGAACACCGAUUGCGAAGGCAGCUUACCAAACUAUAUCUGACGUUGAGGCACGAAAGCGUGGGGAGCAAACAGGAUUAGAUACCCUGGUAGUCCACGCAGUAAACGAUGAUAACUCGCUGUCGGCGAUACACAGUCGGUGGCUAAGCGAAAGCGAUAAGUUAUCCACCUGGGGAGUACGUUCGCAAGAAUGAAACUCAGAGGAAUUGACGGGGGCCCGCACAAGCGGAGGAACAUGUGGUUUAAUUCGAUGAUACGCGAGGAACCUUACCCGGGCUUGAAAGUUAGCGACGGAUCUGGAAACAGGUCUUCCC